AGUGAGCCGAGAUCAUGCCACUGCACUCCAGCCUGGGCGACAGAGCAAGACUCCGUAACAACAGCAAAAACAGCAACAACAAAAACAACAACAAAAACCCUUUGUUGAAUGUUGGAAAGCCUGAGGGCAACUGGAGGAGAAACAACAUAAAGAGGAACAGAUUUCAUUUCUAUUCCUGCUGCCACUGUUCCAGCGGCACCCUGUAUCCUGCAUGAAGACAGCCCUGUCUGCUCCUGCUUCCAUCAACAUCCCUCUCCUCUGAAUUUUGUAGUACUCAGAUAGUCAUCAAGAUGUUACAGUGGGGUGCUUACUGCAUCAUUUUUGUAUCUUCUGCUGUUUUUCACCUCUAUUAAUCUUGUUUCACUAGCUAGAUUACGCACUCCUUGCAAUAGAAGACUACUUUAUUCUUGAUGGCAGUUAACUCAUUGACACAAGACUCUAAUAUGAAUUGCCUGCAUCUGAAUUUUUUUUAAGUUAAUCUUUUAUUUUAGGUUCAGGGUUACAUGGGAAGGUUUGUUACACAGGUAAACUCAUGUCACGAGGGUCUGUUGUAAAGAUUAUUUCAUCACCCAGGAAUGAAGCCCAGCAACCAAUAGUUAUCUUUUCUGAAAUUUUCUAAUUAAAAAGCUUUCAGUCA